CUCUCUUUUCCCGCUUUUAAGCUUACCCCAUAAAAUUGUGUCGCCACAUUGCAAUCUGAUCUCUCACCUCCUUCUCUUUACACACACUCUCUCUGAUAUCUCUCAUCUCGUUCUCUUCCCCCCUUUCUCUCUAUUUUUGACCUAGCGACCCUCACUGCCACACUACAACCCACCAUUAAAGGCGGUUUGGUGCAUCAGUUGAUCUGUAACCCUCCGCCACCAUCCAGUCAAUGUCCGGCCAGUGAGUCCGUUCUCCAGUCUCUUCUUAUGUGACUUCGUCUUUCUGCAUGUAACCGCCUCGACGCCUCUGUCCGCCAACGCCCUUGUCGCCUCCCUCUGCAUAUUGAUCUUGUGGUUUUUGUUUUCAAUUUUGACCAAUAUCUCCUUCACAUUGAACUGCAAUCAUCGCCUCUAAGAAUUGUCGGACCUCAUGGAAGGUAAAGUCCUUCAAUUUUCUGCAUCCUCUUUUCCUUCUUCAAUUUUCUGCAUCUUCUUACUGUCGGUAGGUAUGAGCAAUCAAUUACUACAUGAAUCAGAAAAUUAAUUCCCACUUUUGGAGAUUAUAUAUAUAAACACUUAUGAGAUGAUCAUUAACACUUUAUUGAGGUCUUUGACUUUUUUUUGUUUUUUGUUUCUUUUGCAGUUGAUGCCGUGUAAGGUCUGUAAGCUCAUAUAUUCAUUUAUCUUAUUGUCUAAGUAUGGAAAUGUUAUUUGGGUGAAUUAAGUGUUUGAUUUAUUUCGGUUUGUCUUGUAGUUUCAAUGUAGUUGAAACGGAGAACCUCUAACCCCAUAGAAAAUCAACUAGCUGAAGCAGUUUGGUUGCCUGAUGGGCCGUAAAAAUUAAAUCAAGGAAUGAAUUGGUAGUGAAUGACUUAAGCUACCAUUUAUGUUGCAGCAACCAAGCAAGGGAUGGAUUGCCUUUAUGCUUGAAGUGUUAUUGGUAUAGAUGUCAGUCCAAACUUCAUCCAUCUAGUUUUCUGUAUAUAGUUUAUGCAAAUGUAAAAAUUACCUCUUUAUGGUGUGUUUUCUUAUAGCAUCCAAGAAUAAAUUUUGCAGGAAAGAUGCUCAGAAGAGUGUAGUGUUGGUUGUUAGUAAUGAAUUGAUCAAAAAAACAUGGGAGAAAAGAAUCAUAGGAUACGAAAGGGUAAACCAGUCAUUUUUAACAUUCAACUGUUUAUAAUAUGCUUAGGUACAAGCUGAACUUGAAACAAAUACUACAACAAAUUCAUCAAGUUGCAGCAAUGGUCUUCUUUAGUUGACAAGGUAUCAUUUGUCUUUAUUUACAUUCCACAUCCACCAAACAGGAAUGUACAAAGGAAUGGAAUCCAAUUCCAUUCCAUUUCAACUCUUUUUUUGGUUUGGAAGGGCAAUAGACUUCUUGGUGGAGCUGUUCUGUCAAGGCUGGUCCAUGCAACAAGCUUGCAAUCUACCUAAUGACCCUUAUAUUAUUGUUGUAAACACUAGCUAGUACCUUUUAAAACCAUUAUCUUAUUUUUGUGUUUCAACAUUUAUAUUAUGUUUGUUUUUAAACCUCUGUUUAGAAGUUAUGUUGUAAUAAAGAAUAUUUUGGAUUUAUGUUUAUUGUGUUUGUACAUACACUUCAAACAUAAUCUGGUCAUUUGUAUUAGAUUUUUUUCUCUACAUUUU
rnacentral:lncRNA from 1 species